CGCAAGAAUUUGCUGAAGUUAAAAGAGAAAUGAGCUACUAUUACACACGACAUGGAUGAAUCUCAAAAUCAUCAUGUUGAAAGAAGCCAGACACAAAAGAGGAGAAGACUCGACAUUUGCAUUGGCUUCUCAAAAGGGUUUCAACUACACAAAAAGUGUUUAAAAAUCCAGUUAUAUGGAGAAACAAGAUCAAUUUAUUGUCAAAAGACAGAAUUAUUCCUCUUUUGCAUCAACCAGGCUUGACAUAACUGUAAUCUCAUGGAAAUGUCUGCUACUGUAAUCAAGAAUUUGCAUGUAGAAGGAAUGCAUCACAGAAUAUAUGACAUCUUGCUAUGUCUACUGUACUAAAGAAUUAAAGAGGUUUGAAAAUAAAUACUGAAACAAAUCAGAAAGGAACCUCAAUUUUAUUAAACUAAAAUAUCAUAGCUAGGAACAUCUCAAAUUGAGAAUAAAGUUUAUAUAAUAUUUCAGAGUCAUAUGAAUGUCAUAAAAUAAUAAAAAUGUACCAUAUAAUUAUUUAAAAAGCACAAGUCUAUAAAUUGGAAACAAUGACCAGCUAAGAGAUGACAGGUAGGCUGAAACUCAACCUAUUUCCAAACCACUAAAGAAGACAUAAAUCAACUUAAAGGGAAAAUUACAUUUGUAGGUUUAUAAACAUAUUUUUAAAAACCACUCCUAUAAAGCAAAAGAUAUAAAAAGAAAACUUGAGAAAUGAUAAAAGGAUAAAGGAUAAAAAAUUAACAAAGCUAUAUGUUAGGCCACUUUGGUUCAUGCAAUUUUCUUUUGUUUCUCUCUAAAAUGGUAUAUCAAUUUUUAUUUUUCACAAACUUCUUUCAAUUAAGAAAGAAAAUACAUUUGCACAGGAAAAAGCAGUUUUUCAUCAACUUUUUCUAGUCAGUGAACAAAAGGCUGAGAAGAAAUCUUUUUUUUAAAAAAUGGUUACAUUAUAGUAUAAUGUAUAGAUUAUAUAAAUCAUGCAUUAUCUUACAGACAUAUAUAAGAAUGUAUAGGGAUAAAAUGUAUAAAAUAGAAGAACCAAAUGCUUGCAACAGAAAAUAAAAGUGUAAAGUUUAGUUCUUUUUCUGUACUAUAAAAAAACCAGCCAUCCUGAAGGCCUGUGCCAUUCUUAGGCCACUUUCAGGCAGAUUCUGAAAAGCUGGAAAGUAAACACAGGUGUUUUAAAACUAGAGCUGCUGUCACGGACAACCACAAACACCCUUAACUCUGAUGUGGCAACGCCUCUUUCCCGCCCUCUGUUUUUUAAAGCAAUACCCGAAAAGAAAAUGUCAAAUGUUUCACCUUUCAACACCUCAGAAUAAGUAAGAGCUUAAAGUGUUGUUCUGUAAUCUCUAGCAAAUAGAUCACUUUUUCACUACUUUUAAAUGUAGCCAAUUAAAUAUUAAUUACAUAAGAUAAAAAGUGGAAUUUCUUUAAAAAUUUCCACCACCCCAACCUUACACACCCUCCCUCUUCCACCAUAUUUUACAGCAGUUUCUUUAGUUCUUAAAGCAAAAUCUUUUGUUUGACCACAUUUAGAUUAUUUCUUCUAUCGUAUAGUUUUUACAGAAAAUAUCUGAUUUUUUCUUGGAAAGUUUAACGUACAACUCAGAAAAAUGCAGAGCUUUAACUGAAAUAUGUAAUUCUCUUUUAGAAAACUGUAUCCUAAUAGGUACCUAAGUAGGAGUAGAAAUCAUUUACAGAGAAAAAUAGAAGACAGAAAGUAAAAUAAUUCCCAAACUGCUACAAAACAUGGAACUCAGGUUUUGGAAUCAAUUCAUAUAUGGAAUCAAUUUUCAAACACUGAAAUAUCAAUCUAUUACUUAUAAUUGUAUAAAAUUGCCCUUAAAAAACAGGGAUAAAAUUCAUUAGGAAUUGAUAAGUUACAACCUAACUAGUAAAUAUAAGAACUAAAGAAAAAUUAAUUCUUUAUAUUUCACCAUAUACAUCAAGAAACAGGUACUGUUAAGGGAAUGGCCAAGUAAGUAUCAAUCAGUUCCCAAAUUAAUCUUGGAGGUUAUUUUGAGAGGUUUAGUCCUACCCUCAGAAUUUCACAAAUAAUUCCUUUGUGCAAUCCAUGUAAGAAAUGUUCUCUGAAAUCACACUUGUUUGUAUAUUUGAUAAUUUUUUUUAAAAAACUGGUAGUUUCUUUGUGCUGUAAGCUUUAAAUAAAGAGAUGUCUGCCUUUUUAAAUAAUAAAAUAAAAAUUAAUGAAUAGGAA